GUUUAACACUAAAUAUAUUUUAGCAGCAAUGGCAGGUCUCCAGUAGCUAUAGUGCAAAGGUUAAAAACAAUGAGAUGCCUGAUCAAUGCUAAGAAAGAAUGUAUUUCAAAAAAGACCCAAUUCUACAAGGAAGAAUUCACUGAACGUGUCAAUGGCAAUAUCACACAUCACAGCGGAUCCAAGAUGGUCAUCACAGGUGAGGCAAGGGUCCAAGUACUCGUCACCUGAUUUCAGUAGAACUAUAUUUAACCCAGGGUAUGCAUGUAUACAAGAUUCAUAGGAGGCUAAGUUGAUAUCCAGCUCUUCAGAGAUAGUUUCGGGCAAUCUCCUCAUAUGCUAACAGCUCCCAACAAAAAAUAGCUGAUGAAGGUGUAUGCCUAACCCAUUAAAAGUUGUCCAUGCCUUACUAUCAAUCCAUCACUGACAAGUAUUAUGCAUCACUCUUGCAUUGCCUCGAGGUUAAACAAAUUUCCUUCAUUAACCAAACAAUAGAGAUAUACACACCAAACUAUACUCAGUACCCCUACCUCAGAUACGGUUCUACACAAGAUCACAAACAGGAAAACUUGUGUAAACUUUGUCACCCAUACCUUCAUGAAACUUCAGCAGCAAAUGCAGGUAUUAGCCCAUAAUAUACUAGUUAAUAUUGCAAUCACUUAAAAACUGAUUUUCCUGGUUUAGGAACGUCCGCCAGGAAACUGUAUAAUCACGGAUGCCCAACUCAAGCCAAGGUUUCAUGUUACCAUUAUAAUGCAGUACUCUCGCAUUCUUAACAGAUUCAAUAUCAACUCCAUAGUUAUAACCCAGUCCUGAUAAUACCCACUUAUCAUCAAGAGCGUAAACUUCACCCUGAAAAGUAAGCAAGCUUGCACGCAAUGUAACAGCCUCUUCUGAAUUCAUCUCUGUUACCAACUUCAGAUAUGUUCCAGAAAUAUCUUGUUCCCUCCACCUCACUAGAUCAAUAACAUUUAAUCCAGACAUCCAAGCACAAGAUGUUUCAUCCAAUCUCUUGUCAGCAAAAAGUUUCUGCAGUUGAAUCAGUCUAACUGAGCAGCACUGAACCGCACCAUUCACUUUCCCGUCCAUAUUGAUGCCCCAUAAGACUGACAAGUCUCUUUGCACAAUAAUGUCAUCAUCCAAGACAACGACUUUCUUCAAACUAGGGAAUAUCUCAGGAAGAAGAUAAUGGGAAUGCGAAAAAACAGACAGGUAUUCUGUUGUUGGCGGCCCAUCAACCUUGUGGAAGGAGACACGAUAUUCUUCAGGCAAGGAAAGAUGAAUAGACGUUGAUGCCUUAUUAUUUUCCAGCUUAUGAUCUUCAAUAUUCAACACCUCAACUGUCGCCUCCAUAUACUUAUUCCUCGAGAACCAUAACUUCAUGGCAAAGUAAUUCUGUUUAUCUGUUACCACAUGAAAUACUUGAUUCUCACUUUCUUUUGCAUGUGUUACGGUGGAGUUAAUUACAGCAGACGAUGCUAGCACAUUGCUGGAGAAUAUAACGAAGUGGCGAAGAUCUGGAUUCAAAAGUCUCUCUACCAAUGACUGAUCAAUAUCAGGAGGAGGGUCUCUAAAAU
rnacentral:misc_RNA from 1 species